CACGAACUGUGCGAACGUUAUUCGGAAUCACUGGGCUUACAGGGUGCGUAGGCGGCCUGCUAAGUAGGGUGUGAAAGCCCCCGGCUCAACCGGGGAAUGGCGCCCUAAACUGGCGGGCUGGAGUGAGAUAGGGGUGUGCGGAACUUCCGGUGGAGCGGUGAAAUGUGUUGAUAUCGGAAGGAACGCCGGUGGCGAAAGCGGCACACUGGAUCUCAACUGACGCUGAGGCACGAAAGCCAGGGGAGCGAACGGG
rnacentral:rRNA from 1 species